AUGAGGAGCGCUGCGCCCUCCCGCAGCCCCAGGGCUGAGCCGCCGCUCGCCGCCCUCCGGCUGCUGCUGCUGCUGCUGCUGCUGAGCGCAGGUAACUGUCAGCUGCAGACAUCUUGUGGAAUCCAGAAGUGCACCACUGAUUUUGUAUCCUUCACUUCACAUCUAAAUGCAGCUCUUGAGGACUUUGAUUUGGAGUUCUGCAAGGCCCUGCGGACAUACUCUGUGUGUACCUAUCGCAAUUCCAAAGUAUGCCGUGGAAACCUAGUCUACCAUUCUGCAGUGCUUGGGAUCGGUGAUCUCAUGACCCAGAGAAACUGUACCAAAGAUGGACCCACAUCCUCCACCAACCCUGAAAUGACCCAUGAUCCUUGCAAUUACAGUGGCCACACAGAAGCAAGAGAACAUCAUGGGGGAGAGAAGACUCCUCGUCCUACUUAUCUAUUUUGUGGCUUGUUCGGGGAUCCUCAUCUGAGGACUUUUAAAGAUCACUUCCAGACGUGCAAAGUGGAAGGCGCUUGGCCCCUCGUAGACAAUAACUACUUAUCAGUGCAAGUGACCAAUGUGCCUGUUGUCCCAGGAUCCAGUGCUACUGCUACAAACAAGAUAACUAUUAUCUUCAAAUCAUACCAAGACUGUACAGACCAGAAAGUAUAUCAAGCAAUGACUGAUGACUUGCCUGCAGCUUUUGUUGAUGGUACAACAAGUGGAGGAGAUGGGAACACCAGGAGCUUGCACAUUGUGGAGAAAGUCAGUGGCAAAUAUAUUGAGAUUCAUGCUAGGUACAUCGGGACCACGGUGUAUAUCCGCCAGCUUGGGCACUACCUGACCUUGGCCAUUCGCAUGCCCCAGGAGCUGGUCAUGGCCUACGAGGAGAGCCAGGAUCUGCAGCUGUGUGUGAAUGGCUGCCCUUCCAGUGAGCUUAUUGAUCAGAGUGGCCACCUGCCAUUGCCUGUGAUGGGAAAGCUGCUUCCUUGGGGUGCUGUAGCUCAUCCCCGGUCAGGGUACACACUGGAAGCAGCUACCAUGAAAUGCCAUGAGAAGAUGCUUGUGAAGGACAUCUAUUUUUACUCCUGUGUAUUUGAUCUACUCACCACUGGUGAUGCCAACUUCACAACUGCUGCUCACAGUGCCUUGCAGGAUGUGGAGGCACUGCACCCCAGCAAAGAGCACUGGCAUAUCUUUCCCAGGAGUGGAAGUGGUAGUGUGGGCAGGGAUAGCAAAUUCUUCGUCAGUCUUGGACUUCUGUGCUUGACUGUUGUUGUGUGUUUGUAGGAUUUUUUUUGUUUAGACUGUAACAAAAUUUUGAAAUAUAUAUUGUCAUAAUAUAUUGAGUAAAGAUGAAUAUAUAUGUAUAUACCAUGUAUAUGAAGGGAUGUUUUAUCUUGGGGCAUACUCCAGAUUGGAUGUUAAUUGUUUUCAUGUAUAUUUGAUUCAGUAUUCUCUGUAUCUAUUUGUUUUACAGUUGUUGAAAAGUUUUAUAAUGUCCCUGCACUGGGACCUGAUAAAAAGCACUUUAUUUUUUACAUACUAAAUAUCUAAGUGUGUAUCUGAGUAACUAUGUAUUAUACAUGAAAUACUCAGUGCUCUCUCUUCUCUAAGUACUACUUUGAUUUAACACAUUUUUUUUAACUGAAUUAGCUUGUGGGUUUUCCCAAGAGACCUUCAGUUAAUGUCAAACGUGUAUAUUUUGAAGCUAGUGAAUGGUCUCUGAAGAGACUGGAGAGAACUUAAACUUAAAGGGAAUACCUUUUUUUAUUAUUUUUGGGGUUUUUUUUGGUUUUUUUUUCUUUUUUUUUCUUUUUUUCCCCCCUCUCUUCACAUGCCCUCCAGUUGUCUGUUAUAGAAGGCUACAGAUUUAUAUAUAUAUUUUUCAUGCUUGGAAACUCCACAAUGUAUCAUUCUUUGCAAAAUGUUUUAGAUGUGGUUCAUCAGUAUACCAGUAAGUAUUUGUGUGUAUGUAAAAGAGUGGAUGUGCAGUGUGUAAAUAUUUUAAAUUAUUAUAAUAGAAGAAUAGUUGCCACCCCCUGCCAAGGAAUGUCAGUAAGGUGGUAUAAGUGACCCCUGGUGUGGUGCACAGAAAUUGGGGGUGUAGACCACGUACUGGGCAGGUAAUCCAUAAAUAAAUUCUCAGUUUGUCUCCUAGCCAAAUAGGAUGGAUAGGAUAUUGGAUAGGAAUAUGCUGAAUACAGUUGUUAUACUUCUUGAAGAUGCUAGUUCCCUUCUGCUAAAUAAGACAUGUAAAUUUAUGACCAGCAGCUGCAAACCAGGCCAGUUUAUUGAAAAGACUGUGUGUGGGAAACUAAGAGGAGGAAUCCCUCAGGAUCCCAGUUGUGAAAUUCCUUUGUAGUGUUUGCAGAGACGUAUAAGAACUUCAACACAUGGGUUUGUGUUGCUGCUGCAUCCCUCUUGAGAGGCAUUAUAAAAAUCCUCUUUUCAUGUUAUUGGAGAACUCUCAAACCAGAAGAACCCUGGAACAGAAUUUUUUUUUUCUAUAAAACUAAAGAAGAGGUGGUGAAAUUGGAAUAUGAUACAGAAGAGUCCACAAGAUUACAGAACUUAGUGUAACAAGAUGAUCUGCUAAGUACAUAUGGAGUAUUUCAGCUGCAAGGUUAAUCACACAGUGUGAAGGUAAAUUGAAAGUGCCAAAACUUAAAAGAAGUUAUGUCAGAUACAUACAAAGAAAUUCAGACCUAAUAAACCUAAUCACAACUGUGAAUGUUGCUUUGCUUGUGUUACAGCUAGAAGUUGAAGUGUGUGAGAAAUAAUCUUACCUGGAAGAUGUAUCAGUGAAAUAAGUUGUGGAAAUUGCUGUAGAAAGUAAAAGGAGUUUUAAAUGUUUAUGUUUACUGUGCACAGAAGGCAGCUGUCAUACCUGUGGGAGCUUACUCAAAAGUGUCAGUCUCAUACUACAAGCUCUGCAGAAGGCUGUGUAAUGUAUUCACAGCCAUUACUCAUGCUGUCUGUUUGCUGGCCUUUGUCUUAAGCUGCCCUUGGAUAUUAGUGGCUUACAUAAAAGGGUUUUUUAAGUAUCUGCUAGAGCACUCCUAACCAUAUGGUAACAGCUUUGAACAGAUGAUGAUAGUUCUCUGUGGUUAUGGAGUCUGACAACUUCCUUAGUAAGCAUGUUGCAGGACUGGCAAAGACUGCCUAAUUUUUUAUUUUGUGUGUACAGAAGGCUCCUAAAUAAGUAUAUUAUAAAAAGAAAUAGUAGGCUUAAUUGCCUGUCAAACCAAAAAUUCCUUUUUUCUUCCUGGAAAACCUAUCUGGAAGAAAAACCUGCAUAGAGCGUCUGUUAAGUGGAACAUAACCAGAGAGUACACCUUUUGUUCUUAUGGUCAAGCUACAAACCAUCAUUGCAUUUCCUUUCAGAUUGCUGCUAUACUGCCAGAAAAUAGAAAAUUAUUAUUACUACCAUGCAUUUGUUUUAAGAGUUUUGAGGCUGUGCAAGUGUCUGUUUACUUAUAUAUGCUCCGAAGUGAAGCAAGCAAUUCUGCAAGCUUUGUGCGGCCUAAUGAGAGUUUCAUUAGUGGACAUGUUUUGAAAAAAAGCCCAGGAGUCUCAUGGCUUUCUUCUCUUCUGAAAAGAGAAACACAGUGCAGUUUAAAGUCUUGCAUUCAUUUUCUUCAUGUAAGUUCAGCUGUGGUCUUUUACACUGAAGUUUUCAUGCUUUGGUUAUUUAAUGCCCAUCUAUGUCUUGACUGAUAUAAAUUCUUUUCUGUCUUGCCCUGCCAGCUGUUGAAAACUGCCAUCUAUACAAUGUUCGAACACGACUAGUAAUGAUUCUGUUUUUUUAAGCAGGUAUUCCGUGUUUUUUACAAGAUAAGCAUUCUCUGUAUUGUGCUGCUACUUCACUGUAUUCAAAACAAACGGAUUGUGGGGAUCGGUGUUGUCGAUUAGGUUUUAUAGUCCGUAUUAUGGAGAGCAACACAGCCACAGAUCAAGUACAAGUAUACAGGACUGAAGAAGGCAAUGACGCCACCCCAUCCUUGCUGUAUUGGCCCCUUCUCCCAAAGCACUCCAUGUGGGUUACAUGAAGGGUGGAAAAGAGAAAUGAAGAAACUGAAGUCAGAGAGUGAAGAGGAGACCAAGUGGGUAAUGUCUUCGUGGUAGUGCUUCUAAUCGUAAUUUUGGUCUUUAAAUCCCAGACUGUUUACAUUUUCCAAUGAAUGAUGUAACGUGUAUAACAAGUGUGCAGAGGAACAAGGGCUGCAUAUUCUAAUUAGAGUAUUUAAUCUUGCAGGCUUUUCUUGGAUGUGUCCUUGCUGCCAUUACCAUACAAGUAUUUUACAGAAAGCAAAACAGUUUCAACAGCUGAGGUUGGCAAAACCCUUACAAUACCCUGCAGGCAUAUUGUUAAUGCAUUUGACUAGAAAGAGACAAACUGUGAGAAUGAGAUGUGUAAACAAAGGUUUUUUUACCUACUUGGGUGACUGCAAUAGUUACCCUGCUUGGCUUACCAUUUUUAUCUGGCAGUGAUAAAAGAGCAAGUUGCUGUCCUUUCUCAGGAAAAAUCUCUUGGAAGUGUAUGAGACCUGACUUCAAAGAGUGUAUAGGAAUUGAAACCACUGUAUAGGUGGGGUAUGUCAGAGGAAUAACUUUCUGUAACACUGCCUGUACAGACAUCUCAGUGGUGGCAAACCCGUGUGGGCAGGUCAAGUUAAAAAGUGAUACACCACCAUCUGUGAUACCAUCUCUAAUCCCUUACUUCUGACCUUUGUUGUGCCAGUGGUUUGGCAUGAGCUGCCUUCAUCUAAUUUUUGCUCCUUCAGGUGCUGCCAAGCAUCACUCCUGAGCUUGCUUAAAACACCAUGAACUAAUUCUCUGUAAAAAUAAGUAAGUUGAUACCCAUCCAUGAGAGAGAACUGUUACCAGAACAGGCUUUUUAGGGGGGAAAAAAAAUUAAAAUGCUUUUGCAAUUAUAAAUCCCAUAAAAAGGCCUUAAUCAUUAAAUUG